rnacentral:lncRNA from 1 species
CGGCGCGCCACCCAGCUUGGCCCGCCGGGGGCGGUGUUGCAGGGCCCGAGAGUAAUUAGGGUAAUUAGCGACGUGUUGUUUCAAGGUAAUUGAAGAGGAAAGUUUGCCCCAGGCAGAAUUUGGGGUCUCUGAGGGAGACAGAACCGUGAAGACCUGAGAGAAGGCGCGAAAGAGAGAAUGCAGGCGCUGCGGUCAUUCCGAUCCGUGUCCACAAAGAGCGCCCCUUCCGCUUACUGUUCAAAGGAGCCAGAGAACUGUGCUAGCCCUGAUCAGAUGUCAGCCCCGAGACCUGGUGGAGAUCUCAGCCUGGAAACCCUGAGGGGAGCUGGGGCUGAGGAUGAUGACUGCUUCUGAGAGGGCUGCUGCUUGACCCAAGAGGCAGGACUCUCUCCCUGGGGCUUUGUGGGGAGGGGGCUGGGUGGCAACCUCAAGAGGCAACCUCAAGUUCCCAGAGCAGAAAGGCAGUGAGGCCAAGAAACACUGUCACCAUGUAACAAAUGAAGAUGCAUGUUGAAGAAUAGGAGCUGUACAUGCAAAGGCGUUUGGGUUUUUCCUGCCUCCCUCCUCCCUGCCUUUGGACAGGUUUUCUUUGCUGUGAUCAUUCCCCAUGAAUCAUCAUCCACUGAAAGUGACUGAGGCAAUGGAGAGUGAAUAAUGAAUCCCCCAAAUGGUCUUUUGUGUCUCUGCCUGGAGGGUUUUGGAAAUAACUUGCAUUUUAAUUUUCCUGACUUAGAAUCAUAGAAUUUUGGAGCUAAAAAGGACCUUAUAGAUAAUGAGGGAAUUGUGACCUCAAGGAAAGACUGGAAGUCAAGAUAGGUGGGUCUGAACCUCCGUCCUCUCACCAAAAGUGGUGCUAGCUUACAUUUAUUGAAGGCUUUCCUUGUGUCCGGCAUCACCUAUUCUUCCCAAACCCUCGGAGGCAGGGGCUCCUAUUGCCCCCGUUCUGCAGAUGAGGAAGGGAAAUGGGAGGUGGGGGGGCUGUUAGGGGGGCCAGAACCCCUCUCAGGUCACAAAGAGGCUCUGACUCUGGCUCCAGAACACACGCCCUCUCAGUCACUCCACCACUUCGCUGUGUGGUCUUGGAUACCUAAUUUAACCUCUUAGGGUCUCAUUUUUCUCCUCUGUGAUCUCUAAAAUUUUACAACUCUAAUGGUGUGGACUUCCUGGCCAAGCAUAUGAUUUUACAGGAAGGUGCAGGGCAGAAACAUUAAGUGAUUUGCCCUCGGUCACCCAGCUUGCUAAUGGCAGAACCAGCAUAGGAACCCAGACCCAGUGAUCUGCUCUCCCCUGCCCCCCACAGGCAAGACCUCCUUCCCCUCUACCUCACUUGGCAGGUGUUUCUAGAGGGACCCAA